CAUUCUAAACUUGGUUAAUGGUUAUUUUAAUUCGAUAUAAGUGAAUUAGGCAGGCAUAGAUUCAACUUCUUGACCUCAGAAGUAUUUAUCUAUUUAGUUCUUCCAUUAAAAAGUAUGGGGUUAUUAAUUGUUAUUUCAUUUGAUGCCGAGUAAUUAACAGACAUAUUAAUUGAGAACAACAUUAUUGUAGUUUUUAAUUUCAUCACCAAAUGUAGCACAUAAAUUAUCGGAUUUGGGCCUGUUUAUGUAACUGGUCAAAUGGGAGCUCCAAUGACCCGAACUCCUCAUUUGGAAAUGAAUCGAGUCCUGACAACUGGUCAACCUUUGAGGAUCUAAUUUCUCAUGAUUGACUGCUGACAGCUGCCACCCCCAUGAAAAUGAAUCGAGUCCACUGUGUUGCUUUUGGAACAUUAAUUUAAGGUGUCGAGCUGUAAUUCUUUUCUGAAAGGGAAAAGAAUGUGCAAUCUCCAGUUUACUUGGAGUGUACUUUUACUCAUUCCACCACAAGCGGGUCUCCCUGACGUACACACUUCGCUGUCUCAAUGGUAAGUGACUCAUUCCCUUUUCCAACAUUAAAUUACAUAUGCCAAGUGAUCUUGUGGCAUCUCUCUCCUGUCUCCAUAGUACACGAAAAGACAAGGAUCUCUUGAGGUAACCCAGGAACAUUCCAACGAGGGGAUAUUGACGGGAACAGCGCCAGUCAGAGGAGCGUGACGUGAUACGGACUACAUGCUUCCACUGGCUGCACAAUUCAUGGGGACGCAAUGCUGCCUCUUGUCAGCUGCAUGGCAACAGUUCUUGGCCACCACAGCAACCUUGAAACUGGCAUUCGGAUAUGGUUAUGGGUUUGAGGUUUGUUUUCUUAUGCUCUCCUUAACAGGACGCAGCUUUUUAUGUUGAUGUGCCUCUCUUGCUUUGGGACUCUUGGGACGCAAGGACUAGUAAUGUUGGGCCAAAGUGUUUUGGGGAUUCGCAGAAUCCCACCAACCAAUGAGAAAAAAAAGUGUAUGCAUAUCAGUUUGCAAGUGUUUUGUUUCAUAUAGCCUGGCUUUAUAUAUUGCUUCAUCAUGCAUGCCUUUAUCCAA
rnacentral:lncRNA from 1 species